GACGAACGCUGGCGGCGUGCCUAAUACAUGCAAGUCGAGCGGAUGACGGAGGAGCUUGCUCCUCCUGAUUCAGCGGCGGACGGGUGAGUAACACGUGGGCAACCUGCCCUGUAGAUUGGGAUAACUCCGGGAAACCGGGGCUAAUACCGAAUAAUCCUUCGGACCUCAUGGUACGAAGUUGAAAGACGGUUUCGGCUGUCACUACAGGAUGGGCCCGCGGCGCAUUAGCUAGUUGGUGAGGUAACGGCUCACCAAGGCCACGAUGCGUAGCCGACCUGAGAGGGUGAUCGGCCACACUGGGACUGAGACACGGCCCAGACUCCUACGGGAGGCAGCAGUAGGGAAUCUUCCACAAUGGACGAAAGUCUGAUGGAGCAACGCCGCGUGAGUGAAGAAGGUUCUCGGAUCGUAAAACUCUGUUGUGAGGGAAGAACAAGUACCGGAGUAACUGCCGGUGCCUUGACGGUACCUCAUUAGAAAGCCACGGCUAACUACGUGCCAGCCGCCGCCGUAA
rnacentral:rRNA from 1 species